rnacentral:rRNA from 1 species
GUAGGGGGGCAAGCGUUGUCCGGGAAUUAUUGGGGCGUAAAGAGCUCGUAGGCGGUUUGGUAAGUCAGAUGUGAAAACUCAGGGGCUCAACCCUGAGAGGCCAUCUGAUACUGCCAUGACUAGAGUCCGGUAGAGGAGUGUGGAAUUUCUGGUGUAGCGGUGAAAUGCGCAGAUAUCAGAAGGAACACCAACGGCGAAGGCAGCACUCUGGGCCGGUACUGACGCUGAGGAGCGAAAGCGUGGGGAGCAAACAGGAUUAGAUACCCUGGUAGUCCACGCCGUAAACGCUGGGCACUAGGUGUGGGACCUUAUCAACGGGUUCCGUGCCGUGGCUAACGCAUUAAGUGCCCCGCCUGGGGAGUACGGCCGCAAGGCUA